GACGAACGCUGGCGGCGCGCCUAACACAUGCAAGUCGAACGAGCGAGAGAGAGCUUGCUUUCUCGAGCGAGUGGCGAACGGGUGAGUAACGCGUGAGGAACCUGCCUCAAAGAGGGGGACAACAGUUGGAAACGACUGCUAAUACCGCAUAAGCCCACAGGUCGGCAUCGACCAGAGGGAAAAGGAGCAAUCCGCUUUGAGAUGGCCUCGCGUCCGAUUAGCUAGUUGGUGAGGUAACGGCCUACCAAGUCAACGAUCAGUAGCCGGUCUGAGAGGAUGAACGGCCACAUUGGGACUGAGAUACGGCCCAG
rnacentral:rRNA from 1 species